AUUUUAGCUUGAACUUUUUUAGCCAGAUAACUAAAAGUUAUAAUCCCUAAAUUUAAAGGAUUUGGCGGUAAUUUAGUCCAGUCAGAGGAACCUGUGUUAUAAACGAUAAACCACGAAAAAUCUUACCUACUUUCCAGUUUGUAUACCGUCAUUAUCAGAUAACUUUCAAAGAAAAAGUUAUUAAAAUAAAUAAUCUUUAAUAUAUUAGAUCAAGGUGCAGCUUAUAAUUAGGUUUUUCAUGGGUUACACUAAAAUUUAUUUAAACGCAUCUAAGUUUUAAACAACUUCGUCUCAAGGUGGAUUUGAUAGUAAAUAAAGUUUAAUAAGCUUUAAUUGAUAAAGGAUCUAAAUUAUGUACAUAUCGCCCGUCGCUUUCACAUUUCGAUUGAAAUAAGUCGUAACAUAG
rnacentral:rRNA from 1 species